rnacentral:rRNA from 1 species
AACGAACGCCGGCGGCGCGCCUAAUACAUGCAAGUCGAACGAGAAGCUGUAGCAAUACAGUUGUACAGUGGCGAACGGGUGAGGAAUACAUGGGUGACCUACCCUCGAGUGGGGAAUAACCAGCCGAAAGGUUGGCUAAUACCGCGUACGCUUCCCAGUCUACGGGUUGGGAAGGAAAGCGAUGCCGUGGGUAUCGCGCUCAAGGUUGGGCUCAUGUCCUAUCAGCUUGUUGGGGGUACGCUCACCAAGGCAACGACGGUAGCUGGUCUGAGAGGACGAUCAGCCACACUGGCACUGCGACACGGGCCAGACUCCUACGGGA